CUCAGGGAGGUAGUGACAAGAAAUAACAACACUGGAAAUUUUAUUUCUAGUGAUUGGAAUGAUGGGAAUUUAAACCCCUUUCAGAGUAACAAUUGGAGGGCAAGUCUGGUGCCAGCAGCCGCGGUAAUUCCAGCUCCAAUAGCGUAUAUUAAAGUUGUUGCAGUUAAAAAGCUCGUAGUUGGAUGUCUGCUGGAAGCAAUCAGUCCGCCCUAUUUGUAGGGUGUGCACUUGAUGAAUUCUGGCAUUUUUGUCCCAAUGAUGUAGCGGGGCGGUGGUAUUCAGUGAAAGCUGAGUAUCCUGUUCCGAUUAUUGGGAUACUGUUACUUUGAGAAAAUUAGUGUGUUUGAAGCAGGCUAAUUGCCUUGAAUACUGCAGCAUGGAAUAACAAUAUAGGAUUUCGGUUCUAUUUUGUUGGUUUCUAGGACUGAAAUAAUGAUUAAUAGGGACAGUUGGGGGCAUUCGUAUUUAACUGUCAGAGGUGAAAUUCUUAGAUUUGUUAAAGACGAACUACUGCGAAAGCAUUUGCCAAAGAUGUUUUCAUUAAUCAAGAACGAAAGUUAGGGGCUCGAAGACGAUCAGAUACCGUCGUAGUCUUAACCAUAAACUAUGCCGACUAGAGAUAGGAAAAUGUCAUUUUGCUGACUU
rnacentral:rRNA from 1 species